rnacentral:rRNA from 1 species
AGAGUUUGAUCAUGGCUCAGGAUGAACGCUGGCGGUCUGCUUAACACAUGCAAGUCGAACGGAUGCUUCGGCAUCAGUGGCGGACGGGUGAGUAACGCGUGAGAAUCUGCCCUCAGGACGGGGACAACGACUGGAAACGGUCGCUAAUACCCGAUGUGCCGAGAGGUGAAAGGAAAUUCGCCUGAGGAUGAGCUCGCGUCUGAUUAGCUAGUUGGUGAGGUAAGAGCUCACCAAGGCGACGAUCAGUAGCUGGUCUGAGAGGAUGAUCAGCCACACUGGGACUGAGACACGGCCCAGACUCCUACGGGAGGCAGCAGUGGGGAAUUUUCCGCAAUGGGCGCAAGCCUGACGGAGCAAGACCGCGUGGGGGAGGAAGGUCUGUGGAUUGUAAACCCCUUUUGUCAGGGAAGAAUACUGACGGUACCUGACGAAUCAGCCUCGGCUAACUCCGUGCCAGCCGCCGCGGUAAUAC